GAAAUACAACUACACUAGUCAACAUUUGAAGUGGAUCAAAACCUUUCAUCAAAGUUGUCCUUAAAACCUAAAAGCGUUCUUGUAUUAGGACAACUUUGAUUAACUUUUUUGAUCCACUUCAAAUGUUGACUACUA